rnacentral:rRNA from 1 species
CGGGAGGAAGUGGGGAUGACGUCAAGUCCGCAUGCUCCUUACGUCUAGGGCUACACACGUCCUACAAUGGGGUCGACAGUGGGAUGCAAAGGCCGCGAGGUGGAAGCCAAUCCCCAAACGGCCUCUCAGUUCGGAUAGUAGUCUGCAACUCGACUACUUGAAGUCGGAAUCGCUAGUAAUGGCGGAUCAGCAUGCCGCCGUGAAUACGUUCCCGGGUCUU